GUGAAGAACGUAGCGAAAUGCGAUAAGUAAUGUGAAUUGCAGAAUUCAGUGAAUCAUCGAAUCUUUGAACGCACCUUGCACCCUUUGGCAUUCCGAAGGGUAUGCUCGUUUGAGUGUCAUUGUACUCUCACACUUCCAAUCUUUGGAUUGGGAGCAGUGGACUUGGGUGUUGCUGCUUACUGUGGCUCACCUCAAAUCGAUUCGUGCACCUCUUGGUUGGACAUAGUACGGCGUGAUAAGUGUCUUCGCCGGCACCUCAGUAGAGGGUGGCUGAUCAGGAGCUCUGUGCUUCAAACCGUCCUCGGACAACAACUGACAACUUGACCUCAAAUCGAGUAGGACUACCCGCUGAACUUAAGCAUAUCAAUAAGCGGAGGA
rnacentral:misc_RNA from 1 species